CGCCGGGGACGCGUGGGCCUUGUGCUUGCGCGCCCUCGCUCGCGUCGCGUUGGGCUUUCGUUGCGCGUGCACCCCUGCGUGUGCGUGCCCGUUCGCCCCUCGCGGUGCCUUAACCAACCCCGGCGCGAAUUGCGCCAAGGACUUGUUAACGAGAGGGCUCGCUCCCGUCGCCCCCGGACACGGUGCGUGCGUGCGGGACGCGACGCCUCCUUUCAUUAUCUAUAACGACUCUCGGCAACGGAUAUCUCGGCUCUCGCAUCGAUGAAGAACGUAGCGAAAUGCGAUACUUGGUGUGAAUUGCAGAAUCCCGUGAACCAUCGAGUCUUUGAACGCAAGUUGCGCCCCAAGCCCUUUAGGGCCGGGCACGUCUGCCUGGGUGUCACACAUCGUUGCCCCCCCUCCCAAAGAUCUAACGAUUCUUUCGGCGUGGGUGGGCGGAAAUUGGCCUCCCGUGCGCUCGCCCGUGCGGUUGGCCCAAAUCUGAGUUCUCGGUGACGCUUUCCCGCGACAGUCGGUGGCGUUUGAAAAACAACCUAGUGAUCCUGUCGUGCGGUUGCGUUCUCCCGACCACGAGCUCUUCGA
rnacentral:misc_RNA from 1 species